rnacentral:rRNA from 1 species
AAUUGAAGAGUUUGAUCAUGGCUCAGAUUGAACGCUGGCGGCAGGCCUAACACAUGCAAGUCGAGCGGCAGCGGGAAAGUAGCUUGCUACUUUUGCCGGCGAGCGGCGGACGGGUGAGUAAUGCCUGGGGAUCUGCCCAGUCGAGGGGGAUAACUACUGGAAACGGUAGCUAAUACCGCAUACGCCCUACGGGGGAAAGCAGGGGACCUUCGGGCCUUGCGCGAUUGGAUGAACCCAGGUGGGAUUAGCUAGUUGGUGAGGUAAUGGCUCACCAAGGCGACGAUCC